GUAGCAGGAGACAAGAUGAGGGUAAUCACCGCAACACCUAGACUCAUUUAGAUCAAGUAAACUUACUGAGGCUCCAGAAGAAGGUCUUCAGGACUCCGACCUUAGUUAUAGAUUAAAAGAAGUUACUCACUUGUGUCUUUAGACGAAUGCACACUUACACAUAGACAUAUAGCUUAGAAGGUAUAUAAGCCCUGAAACACUUUCUAAUUUUGAGUUGGUCUGGCGAUAAUUUCCAGACCUUCUCCCUGUAACGGGUGACAGAAAUAAAAACUCUCUUUCUGCCCGGUUCAUCUGCAUCUCGUUACUAGGCCGCGAGAAAUAGCAGCCUGACUUUCGCUUGGUCCUGGAACAAAGUUUGGUACACCAGCCAGGAGGUAAGGAUGGUGCUGUUUUCAGCCGCUGGCAGCCUGUGAGGAGACAGUCUUCAGCAGGAUCUCCCAGCUGCCAGGUGAGGUUUCCCCACGGGACCCUCCAGAGGGCUGUUCCCUGGACAAAUCUGCAUGUCCCUUUCACUGCUGGGGAAGAAUGGAGAUCGGGAGCGGAUGCGCUCAAAGGGAAUCAAACUUGACUUAUGGAGCCAAGAAAGCCCUUGGAAAAACUGGCUUCUCAUUUUGUGGAUGCAGUCCAUGUACAGGGAUUCUGACCUGUGAAUCUUCUCUGUAAUAACCACAAAGUGAGAAUUCUUAAGCAUAUUUCAUAGAAGUGAAGGACAGAGUGUGAAAAAAUUUCAGAAUAAGUGCAAUAUAGGUGGUGAUAACUGUGGUGGUGAUAACUGUGAAGGUAGAGAGCAUUCCUAUCUCUUCCUGAGACUCCAAAAAGGCACUUGGAUUGUUUCCAUAUCUUUACUAUUGUGACCAAAGCUGCAAUGAACAUCGCAGUGCAGAUAUCUCUUCAAGAUGCUAGAGAGUGAUUCCAGCUUGCAAGGUGACUGUGGAACAGCUCUGAUGCAGCCUCAGGAAAUUACCCUUCUUGUGGGCUGCAACUACAUCCCCAACAAGAUCUGGCCCCGAUCCUGGUGAAGGAAAACCAAUCAUUAACAGCUUUCAUUUCAGAAAGCCAAGCAAUUUAUAUGGACUCACUCCCAUAAACACAAUUCUGAGUGUCAACCAAUUGAGAACAAUUUUGUUGGAGUAAUCACAUUUUGGCAGCGAAUGUCAACCUACUUAAACUUCUGAAAGGUCACCAAUCCCUGACUUUUAAGCUUCCAAAAAUUCUGGUAUAAAUCCAGCAGCUUGCUCUUUUUAGAGAGGCUAUACCUGACCAGCAUAUCUCUAUUCACUAUAGUAAGCAAUAAGCACAACAUGUUUUUUCUUUCAAAUAUUGAGUGGUGAUUUCUUCAUAAUUUGACAGUAUCAUUUAUCCCAUGGAAGAACAAGUAGUUAUAUAUCUUAUUCUGGAAUUCCUUUUGAGCAUUAGAGCAAUCUUCCCCAAAAACUGCGAACUUAAAAAAAAUAAUAAUAUUCUCUAUUCAACAGUAGGUGGAAAAUCAAACUCAGAAACAUUUUAGCAGAAUUUAUUUUGCUGGGUUUUUUUCCUCCUAAACUUAGCAUUGUUAUCUGGAUACAAUCAAGAUACUUUAUUUCACAGCCAACGUCAUGUAACAACUUUUUGUAACAUUACUCAGCUCGUAGCUUUUCUCUUUCGGAAAAAGUGUUUGGAAAGCAGAAUUAAAAACGAACUUGAGGGCCAGGCGCAGUGGCUCACGCCUGUAAUCCCAACAUUUUGGGAGUCUGAGGCGGGUGGAUCACGAGGUCAGGAGACCGAGACCAUCCUGGCUAAUACAGUGAGACCCCGUCUCUACUAAAAAUACAAAAAAUUAGCCAUGCAUGGUGGCACGUGCCAAGUCCCAGCUACCGGGGAGGCUGAGGCAGGAGAAUCGCUUGAACCUGGGAGGCAGAGGUUGCAGUGAGCCGAGAUUGUGCCACUGCACUCCAGCCUGAGCAACAGAGUGAGACUCCAUCUCAAAAAAUAAAAAAAUAAAAUAAAAAUUAAAAGUCAACAUUUAAAAGACUUGGAUUUUUCUUAGUUUUUUUUUUUUUUUUUUUUUUUUUGGCUUAAUAUAAGUCUUCCUCUCUCUCUCUCUUUUUCUUUCUUUUUUUUUGAGAGGCAGCCUUGGUCUGUCGCCCAGGCUGGAGUGCAGUGGCACCAUCUCGGCUCACUGCAACCUCUGCCUUCUGGGUUUCAGAGAUUCUAGGGCCUCAACCUCCCAAGUAGCUGGGAUUACAAGUGUGCGCCACCAUGCCCAACUAAUUUUUGUAUUUUUAGUAGAGAUGGGUUUCACCAUGUUGGCCAGCCUGGUCUCAAACUCCCAACUUCAAGAGAUCUGCCGGCCUUGGCCUCCGAAAGUGCUAGGAUUACAAGCGUAAGCCACCAGGCCCAGCCUACAUUUUCUUUUAUCUGUGUGUAAAUAUGUUGAUGGUAUAGUGUGCAUAAGGGAAAAUAAGCUUAUUAAAAACUCAAGCUUCAGGGAUAACUGGCUAGGCCUUACUUUUAAAGAAAUAGUUGCACCUUUAACAUUUUCUGCUAUGAUAGAAAAAUAUUAUCCAAUUAAAAUGUAAGCAACCUAAACAUCAUUGAUUACUCUAAAAGAAUUAUAGAAUAGUAAUAUCUUGCCAAUAUCGAUAUUUGUGGUGCUACUCUGUUCUCAUUGCAUUAGCUAUUAGACAAUGUCUUAUAGAGUUCAUGGCCAUUUUCUGCUUAUGAAUGAGAAUAAAUACUUGUGAAAACAUAACGUGUAAGACAUCAGGUAUACAUAUAUUAAAAUAUGUCAGUUGGCGAAAAGUAAUAAUUGUCUUACCAAGGAAAAUUGCCUUUAGAUUUGACUGUGUUCAGCUCUGGUACAAAACAUAACAAACAUUAUGUUUCUACCUUAAUUAAAAAGUAAAUGUGGUUAUUUUAAAAACUGUUUAAAAUUAAAGCCUAUUUUAUAAGAUGUUAUAUGAGACACUGCAUUAUUCCUUAUCAAAUUUAUAAGGCUGUAU
rnacentral:lncRNA from 1 species